rnacentral:ncRNA from 1 species
UCUUGCUGAAAUAAUUAUGGAGAUUUUGUUUCACAUGUAAGAUUUUUCGUGGAAGUUAUUAUGAUCUUAAUGGUCUUAUAUUUAAUAUUAUUCGCAGUGUUUUGAAUUAAUAAUCAAUUAGGGUUGGAAUUAGUAAUUUCUUAUUGUCGGUUAAAGUCGUGCCAGCUACCGCGGUUAAACGAAAGACAUAAAUAAUUAUUAUUAGUGAGUAGUUAAUUAUUUGUUAAUCUGAUUUAAAUAGUUUUUAUAUUAAGUGGAAUUUUAUCAAGAAGUAGUUAUCAGGGGUUCAUUUCAGUGAAUCUACGAAAGUUAAAAUAAAAACUGGGAUUAGAUACCCCAUUAUUUUAGUUGUUAUUAGUAACACUUAAGUAGUAUAAGUUAUGUUCUUGAAACUUAAAGAAUUUGGCGGUGAUUUAGUCUUUUCAGAGGAACCUGUCCCUUGAUCGAUAGUCCACGAUAAAAUUUAUUUCAUUUAGAAAACAGCUUGUAUACCGCCGUCAUAAGAAUCUUUCAGGAGAAUAUUUUCUUAAUUUUUAUUAACAAGUAUGUCAGGUCAAGGUGUAGCUAAUAAUGAAGUGGAGGUGGGUUACAUUGAGAGUACUCAAACGGAUUCGAGUUUGUAAUAGCUUUAUGAAGGUGGAUUUGAUUAUAAAUUAAACUAUUUUGUUUAUUUGAUUUUUAGCUCUAAAUCAUGCACACAUCGCCCGUCGCUCUCGUUUUUUUUAAGGCGAGAUAAGUCGUAACAUAGUAGGUGUACCGGAAGGUGUAUCUAGAAUGA